rnacentral:rRNA from 1 species
UACCAAGGCGACGACGGGUAGCCGGCCUGAGAGGGUGACCGGCCACACUGGGACUGAGACACGGCCCAGACUCCUACGGGAGGCAGCAGUGGGGAAUCUUGCGCAAUGGGCGAAAGCCUGACGCAGCGACGCCGCGUGGGGGACGAAGGCCUUCGGGUUGUAAACCUCUUUCAGCAGGGAAGAAGCGAGAGUGACGGUACCUGCAGAAGAAGCACCGGCUAACUACGUGCCAGCAGCCGCGGUAAUACGUAGGGUGCAAGCGUUGUCCGGAAUUAUUGGGCGUAAAGAGCUCGUAGGUGGCGGGUCACGUCGGGUGUGAAAGCCCGGGGCUUAACCCCGGGUCUGCAUUCGAUACGGGCUUGCUAGGGUCCGGCAGGGGAGACUGGAAUUCCUGGUGUAGCGGUGAAAUGCGCAGAUAUCAGGAGGAACACCGGUGGCGAAGGCGGGUCUCUGGGCCGGUACCGACGCUGAGGAGCGAAAGCGUGGGGAGCGAACAGGAUUAGAUACCCUGGUAGUCCACGCCGUAAACGUUGGGCGCUAGGUGUGGGGAGCAUUCCACGUUCUCUGUGCCGUAGCUAACGCAUUAAGCGCCCCGCCUGGGGAGUACGG